rnacentral:rRNA from 1 species
AGUGAACGCUGGCGGCGCGCGUAACACAUGCAAGUCGAACGAGAACGAUAUAUCUUGCUAUAUUUGUCAGCUAAGUGGCGCACGGGUGAGUAAUGUAUAGAUAACCUGCCCUCUAGAAAGGAAUCACAGUUGGAAACGACUGCUAAUGCCCUAUAUGCCUUUAAUAAAUAAGUAUGCAAGGGAAACGCUUUAGUGUUAGAGGAUGGGUCUGUAUGGUAUCAGCUUGUUGGUGCGGUAAUGGCUCACCAAGGCUAUGACGCGUAACUCGUUUGAGAGGAUGAUCAGUCAAACUGGGAAUGAGAAAACGUCCAGACUCCGACGGGAGGCAGCAGUGGGGAAUAUUGCACAAUGGACGAAAGUCUGAUGCAGCACCGCCGCGUGGAGGAUGACACAUUUCGGUGCGUAAACUCCUUUUAUCUAGGAAGAUAAUGACGGUACUAUAUGAAUAAGCACCGGCUAACUCCGUGCCAGCCGCCGCGGUAAAAC